rnacentral:sRNA from 1 species
ACCCCGGAGUCAUAUUUCAUCCUCUUUGGGUUCAUAGUGAUGACAACUGGUAUUAUUGUUUACUAUUGGUACAAAGAGCAAGAGCAAUC